UACGUAGGGGGCGAGCGUUGUCCGGAUUUAUUGGGCGUAAAGCGCACGUAGGCGGAUAUUUAAGUCAGGGGUGAAAUCCCGGGGCUCAACCCCGGAACUGCCUUUGAUACUGGGUAUCUCGAGUCCGAGAGAGGUGAGUGGAAUUCCGAGUAUAGAGGUGAAAUUCGUAGAUAUUCGGAGGAACACCAGUGGCGAAGGCGGCUCACUGGCUCGGUACUGACGCUGAGGUGCGAAAGCGUGGGGAGCAAACAGG
rnacentral:rRNA from 1 species